CCUACGGGAGGCAGCAGUGGGGAAUAUUGGACAAUGGGGGGAACCCUGAUCCAGCCAUGCCGCGUGUGUGAAGAAGGCCCUCGGGUUGUAAAGCACUUUCAGUGAGGAAGAACGCCUGGUGGUUAAUACCCAUCAGGAAAGAUAUCACUCACAGAAGAAGCACCGGCUAACUCCGUGCCAGCAGCCGCGGUAAUACGGAGGGUGCGAGCGUUAAUCGGAAUUACUGGGCGUAAAGCGCGCGUAGGUGGCUUGAUAAGCCGGUUGUGAAAGCCCCGGGCUCAACCUGGGAACGGCAUCCGGAACUGUCAAGCUAGAGUGCAGGAGAGGAAGGUAGAAUUCCCGGUGUAGCGGUGAAAUGCGUAGAGAUCGGGAGGAAUACCAGUGGCGAAGGCGGCCUUCUGGACUGACACUGACACUGAGGUGCGAAAGCGUGGGUAGCAAACAGGAUUAGAUACCCGGGUAGUC
rnacentral:rRNA from 1 species